GGUCCUACGGGGCGCAGCAGUGGGGAAUAUUGGGCAAUGGGCGCAAGCCUGACCCAGCAACGCCGCGUGAAGGAAGAAGGCUUUCGGGUUGUAAACUUCUUUUCUGAGGGACGAAGAAAGUGACGGUACCUCAGGAAUAAGCCACGGCUAACUACGUGCCAGCAGCCGCGGUAAUACGUAGGUGGCAAGCGUUAUCCGGAUUUAUUGGGUGUAAAGGGCGUGUAGGCGGGAAUGCAAGUCAGAUGUGAAAACUAUGGGCUCAACCCAUAGCCUGCAUUUGAAACUGUAUU
rnacentral:rRNA from 1 species